rnacentral:rRNA from 1 species
AAAUUUAAUGGCCGCGGUAAUUUGACCGUGCAAAGGUAGCAUAAUCAUUAGUUUAUUAAUUGUGAACUCGUAUGAAUGGUUUGACGAAAUAUUAACUGUCUCAUAUUAAUAUAUAUAAUUUAAAUUUUGAGUUAAAAUGCUUAAAUGUAUUUAUAGGACGAGAAGACCCUAUAGAUCUUAAUUAUUUUUAUUUUUAAUUGUUUUGGUUAUUUAUUAUUUAUUAAUUGUAUUAAAUUAUUUUGUUGGGGUAAUUUUGAGAAAAAUUUAAUUCUUAAUUUUAUUAUUCAUUUAUUUUUGUAUAUAUGACCUUUUAAUAAUGUUUUUAGAUUAAGAUACCUUAGGGAUAACAGCGUAAUUCUUUUUGAGAGUUCUUAUCGACAAAUGAGAUUGCGACCUCGAUGUUGGAUUAAGAUUAUAUUUGGGUGUAGAUGCUUAAGUUUUAAGUCUGUUCGACUUUUAAAAUCUUACAUGAUCUGAGU